UACGAAGGGGGCUAGCGUUGUUCGGAAUCACUGGGCGUAAAGCGCACGUAGGCGGAUCGUUAAGUCGGGGGUGAAAUCCUGGAGCUCAACUCCAGAACUGCCUUCGAUACUGGCGAUCUCGAGUCCGGAAGAGGUGAGUGGAACUCCUAGUGUAGAGGUGGAAUUCGUAGAUAUUAGGAAGAACACCAGUGGCGAAGGCGGCUCACUGGUCCGGUACUGACGCUGAGGUGCGAAAGCGUGGGGAGCAAACAGG
rnacentral:rRNA from 1 species